AAAUCCGUCGAAUUUUUAAAUCGUGAGGGUUCGAGUCCCUCUAUCCCCA
rnacentral:tRNA from 2 species